rnacentral:rRNA from 1 species
UGGGGAAUUUUGGACAAUGGGCGAAAGCCUGAUCCAGCAAUGCCGCGUGUGUGAAGAAGGCCUUCGGGUUGUAAAGCACUUUUGUCCGGAAAGAAGUCCUUGGCUCUAAUACAGUCGGGGGAUGACGGUACCGGAAGAAUAAGCACCGGCUAACUACGUGCCAGCAGCCGCGGUAAUACGUAGGGUGCAAGCGUUAAUCGGAAUUACUGGGCGUAAAGCGUGCGCAGGCGGUUUGCUAAGACCGAUGUGAAAUCCCCGGGCUCAACCUGGGAACUGCAUUGGUGACUGGCAGGCUAGAGUAUGGCAGAGGGGGGUAGAAUUCCACGUGUAGCAGUGAAAUGCGUAGAGAUGUGGAGGAAUUCCGAUGGCGAAGGCAGCCCCCUGGGCCAAUACUGACGCUCAUGCACGAAAGCGUGGGGAGCAAACAGGAUUAGAUACCCUGGUAGUCCACGCCCUAAACGAUGUCAACUAGUUGUUGGGGAUUCAUUUCCUUAGUAACGUAGCUAACGCGUGAAGUUGACCGCCUGGGGAGUACGGUCGCAAGAUUAAAACUCAAAUGAAUUGACGGGGUCAUAGCUGUUUCCU